rnacentral:lncRNA from 1 species
ACACGAGGCCUCCACUGCGGUUGCGCAGCCUGCCGAAGAGCGUGCGGCUUCUACUGCGGCUGCGCAAGCUCGACGCGCGCACUCUUGUCUGCUUACGAGGGCUCCUCCCUUCAGCUUUGGUCCCUCGGGGCGUCUGGGCAGCCUACGCUUUCCGUAAACACUGGGAUGCCGGAGCUCAGGCAUCCCAGACAGGAGGAAGUGUGUACUCACACCAGCCAGGAGGAAACAAGCCUGCCUGGGAGGACAGACGAUCAGCCCUGGCUGUCCCUCAGGAGCGGGGGGCCUCCAAGGCACACUGCCCACUGGGUCAAGGAGUAUCCAGGAGGAGUUAGAAGCAUGACCCAUCUGCCUGGCACCAGCACCUGGGGCUGCCAGGCAGCCACCCCUGCAGCUGUGUUGACAGGACCUGGCAGAGGGACUGACCCACCUUUGGAAAAUGACACCAGCAAUAUCAGGAUGUGUCAACUGGAUUUAUGCUAAGAAAAUAGGAUUUUUGGUGUUCCUCUGUUUCCCAAAGUUUGAGACACUUUCAGACACUCUGCUUUGCGGUUGUGGC